GGAGUUAAGAAAUGUAGACUCGCUAAUAUCGGGUCUAUUUGACAAAGGCUCCAAAGGAAGCCACGGCUAACUCUGUGCCAGCAGCCGCGGUAAUACAGAGGUGGCAAGCGUUGUUCGGAAUUAUUGGGCGUAAAGAGCACGUAGGUGGAUUUGUAAGUCAGACGUGAAAGCCUUCUGUUCAACGGAAGAAUUGCAUCUGAAACUACAAACCUUGAGUGUAGGAGGGGAGAGUGGAACUUCUG
rnacentral:rRNA from 1 species